rnacentral:rRNA from 1 species
AUGGGGCUGAUUGCUGCAGAUAGAACUGAGCAAAAAGAGCUUAGAUUGCAGCUGAAAAUAAUUAUGACACAAGAAGAAAUGAAGUGGAUUCAGAGAUAUAAAGACAAAGGAAUAAGAGAUGGAGAUGGAAACACUAGAUACUAUCAUGCAAAAGUGAAUGGGAGAAGAAGGAAAAACAGAAUAAUUUCUUUAGAACAAGAUGAAGGAAUUAUAGAAGGGGAUGAUAGUCUGAUGAAAUAUAUCACUAACUUCUAUAAAAAUCUUUUUGGGCAUCCCGAGGAAUCCAACAUAUCAUUGAAAGAGAUGGAAAUGGAAAAAAUAUCUGCACAAGAUAGGGAGGAAUUGUUGUCCCCCUUUUCCUUGGAUGAAAUUCAUCAAGUGGUCAUGGGGAUGAAAAGAAAUAAAAGCCCUGGACCUGAUGGAUUCCCUGCAGAAUUUUACCAGGAUUUCUGGGAUUUGGUUAAGUGGGAACUGAAAGCUUUAGUUGAGGGAUUUGCCAGGGGAAUAUCAAUAUUGCUAGGAUUAACUAUGGCAUCAUUACUCUGGUGCCUAAAACCAAUGAUGCCAAACAAAUACAAAAUUUCAGGCCUAUUUGCUUGUUAA